rnacentral:rRNA from 1 species
CCCUUUGGGGUGUGACUGCGUACCUUUUGUAUAAUGGGUCAGCGACUUAUAUUCUGUAGCAAGGUUAACCGAAUAGGGGAGCCGGAGGGAAACCGAGUCUUAAUUGGGCGUUAAGUUGCAGGGUAUAGACCCGAAACCCGGUGAUCUAGCCAUGGGCAGGUUGAAGGUUGGGUAACACUAACUGGAGGACCGAACCGACUAAUGUUGAAAAAUUAGCGGAUGACCUGUGGCUGGGGGUGAAAGGCCAAUCAAACCGGGAGAUAGCUGGUUCUCCCCGAAAGCUAUUUAGGUAGCGCCUCGUGAAUUCAUCUCCGGGGGUAGAGCACUGUUUCGGCUAGGGGGCCAUCCCGGCUUACCAACCCGAUGCAAACUGCGAAUACCGGAGAAUGUUAUCACGGGAGACACACGGCGGGUGCUAACGUCCGUCGUGAAGAGGGAAACAACCCAGACCGCCAGCUAAGGUCCCAAAGUCAUGGUUAAGUGGGAAACGAUGUGGGAAGGCCCAGACAGCCAGGAUGUUGGCUUAGAAGCAGCCAUCAUUUAAAGAAAGCGUAAUAGCUCACUGGUCGAGUCGGCCUGCGCGGAAGAUGUAACGGGGCUAAACCAUGCACCGAAGCUGCGGCAGCGAACGUAUCACUUAAAGCGAUUCAGCGGGUUACGAUUGACGGAGCGAAGCGACGUCAAAGCGUAUACAAAGUCGAGUCGGUUUAAGGAUACGUUCGUUGGGUAGGGGAGCGUUCUGUAAGCCUGUGAAGGUGGCCUGUGAGGGUUGCUGGAGGUAUCAGAAGUGCGAAUGCUGACAUAAGUAACGAUAAAGCGGGUGAAAAGCCCGCUCGCCGGAAGACCAAGGGUUCCUGUCCAACGUUAAUCGGGGCAGGGUGAGUCGACCCCUAAGGCGAGGCCGAAAGGCGUAGUCGAUGGGAAACGGGUUAAUAUUCCCGUACUUGGUGUUACUGCGAAGGGGGGACGGAGAAGGCUAUGUUGGCCGGGCGACGGUUGUCCCGGUUUAAGCGUGUAGGUGUGUGUUCCAGGUAAAUCCGGUUCACUUUAACACUGAGGCGUGACGACGAGGCACUACGGUGCUGAAGCAACAAAUGCCCUGCUUCCAGGAAAAGCCUCUAAGCAUCAGGUAACAUCAAAUCGUACCCCAAACCGACACAGGUGGUCAGGUAGAGAAUACCAAGGCGCUUGAGAGAACUCGGGUGAAGGAACUAGGCAAAAUGGUGCCGUAACUUCGGGAGAAGGCACGCUGACACGUAGGUGAAGUGAUUUACUCAUGGAGCUGAAGUCAGUCGAAGAUACCAGCUGGCUGCAACUGUUUAUUAAAAACACAGCACUGUGCAAACACGAAAGUGGACGUAUACGGUGUGACGCCUGCCCGGUGCCGGAAGGUUAAUUGAUGGGGUCAGCGCAAGCGAAGCUCCUGAUCGAAGCCCCGGUAAACGGCGGCCGUAACUAUAACGGUCCUAAGGUAGCGAAAUUCCUUGUCGGGUAAGUUCCGACCUGCACGAAUGGCGUAAUGAUGGCCAGGCUGUCUCCACCCGAGACUCAGUGAAAUUGAACUCGCUGUGAAGAUGCAGUGUACCCGCGGCAAGACGGAAAGACCCCGUGAACCUUUACUAUAGCUUGACACUGAACAUUGAGCCUUGAUGUGUAG